UACGAGUGCUUCGAGCGUUAUCCGGAAUCAUUGGGCGUAAAGGGUGUGUAGGCGGUUGUGUUAGUCUUGUGUUAAAUUCUCCGGCUCAACCGGGGAGCUGCACGGGAAACGGCACGACUGGAGUAUGGAAGGGGUCUUCGGAACUCAUAGUGUAGCGGUGAAAUGCGUUGAUAUUAUGGGGAACACCAAAAGCGAAGGCAGAAGACUGGUCCAUUACUGACGCUGAAACACGAAAGCGUGGGUCGCGAAUGGG
rnacentral:rRNA from 1 species